rnacentral:rRNA from 1 species
UACGACGGGUGCAAGCGUUACUCGGAAUUACUGGGCGUAAAGGGUGCGUAGGUGGUUUGUUAAGUCUGCUGUGAAAUCCCCGGGCUCAACCUGGGAAUGGCAGUGGAUACUGGCAAGCUAGAGUGCGGUAGAGGGUAGUGGAAUUCCCGGUGUAGCAGUGAAAUGCGUAGAUAUCGGAAGGAACACCUGUGGCGAAAGCGGCUCACUGGACCAUUACUGACGCUGAGGCACGAAAGCUAGGGGAGCAAACAGG